rnacentral:rRNA from 1 species
CAUCCCGAACAGAGUAGUUAAGCCCGUUAGCGCAGAUGGUACUGCUUUUUUGUGGGAGAGUAUGUCGCCGCCUUCU